rnacentral:rRNA from 1 species
AUGGCGGCCCCCCCGAGCCAGGCGAGCCUCCUGCUCCAGAAGCAGCUCCGAGAUCUAGCGAAGAACCCCGUGGACGGGUUCUCGGCGGGGCUGGUGGACGACGGCAACGUGUUUGAGUGGCAGGUCACCAUCAUCGGCCCGCCGGAGACGUUAUAUGAUGGAGGCUACUUCAAUGCAGUAAUGACCUUUCCUCAGGAUUAUCCCAACAGUCCUCCAUCAGUAAGGUUUACUUCUGAGAUGUGGCAUCCAAACGUCUAUCCUGAUGGGCGUGUGUGCAUUUCUAUUCUUCAUCCACCUGGUGAUGAUCCGAAUGGUUACGAGCUUGCAAGUGAACGGUGGACACCAGUGCACACAGUUGAGAGUAUAGUUUUGAGCAUUAUUUCGAUGCUCUCUAGUCCAAACGAUGAGUCUCCAGCAAAUAUUGAAGCGGCUAAGGACUGGAGAGAAAAGAGGGCCGAAUUCAAGAAAAAGGUGAGGAGCCUUGUUCGCAAAUCUCAGGAAAUGCUCUGA